GGUCCCAGAAAGAUAACAACUAUUUCCAUGACUUGAAUUUAGGACUGAUAACUCCCCAAAACAUCAGAUGAUAAAGUCAUACUGCCUUUGCCCAUUAAGUUUGCGAUGAAUCAUGAGAGAGGUAAUAAGAAACUCGCACCUCUCAUUCGUCUUCUAUUCAGACAUGAUAUGUUAGUGUCUUGACCACAUCUGCAUGCCAUCUCUACUAAUAUUUUCUUCAAAAAAUAUGCCUGUUUGUUUUCUAAGAAGAAAUAGAAAGAAAACCUGUGGAUUUACGUGGCUGCUCAGUACCUUCCUCCGGCCCGACUUCCAAGCUGAGAUCUUUUCUGCCUUCUGCGAGACUAGCUGACUCAUCAUCUCAGGUUCUCAGCUUUAAUCAUCACCCUCACCACCAACUCCCCGAGAGUGUGUAAAACUCAGGCUUUCACAGGCACCCCCACACCCCACUUUUUUCUGUUGU